rnacentral:rRNA from 1 species
CCUACGGGAGGCUGCAGUGAGGAAUAUUGGUCAAUGGACGAGAGUCUGAACCAGCCAAGUAGCGUGAAGGAUGACUGCCCUAUGGGUUGUAACCUUCUUUUAUAAAGGAAUAAAACGCGGCACGUGUGCCUUUUUGCAUGUACUUUUUGAAUAAGGAUCGGCUAACUCCGUGCCAGCAGCCGCGGUAAUACGGAGGAUCCGAGCGUUAUCCGGAUUUAUUGGGUUUAAAGGGAGCGUAGAUGGGUUGUUAAGUCAGUUGUGAAAGUUUGCGGCUCAACCGUAAAAUUGCAAUUGAUACUGGCAGUCUUGAGUACAGUUGAGGUAAGCGGAAUUCGUGGUGUAGCGGUGAAAUGCUUAGAUAUCACGAAGAACCCCGAUUGCGAAGGCAGCUUACUAAACUGUGACUGACAUUGAUGCUCGAAAGUGUGGGUAUCAAACAGGAUUAGAUACCCCGGUAGUC